GCGGUAGCCGGUAUUAACUGAAUAUAAACUGAAUCUUCCAACCUGCGCCGCGUGAAGGGAGAGCGAGGGUUUCUCCCCGAGAGUCUCUAGGAGAUCUCUGUAAUCUGAUCUUUCAGAACCAAAGAUGGGAGUGUGGUGGUGAAAGACUGAUCCCUGUGUAAGAGCUGCAGAAAAUGAUCAACUUCCGGGGAUCAGUGACACUCCAGGACGUGGCUGUGGACUUCACCCCAGAAGAGUGGCAGCUGCUGGACUGUGAUCAGAGAACCUUGUAUUGGGAUGUGAUGCUGGAGAACGUUAGAAACCUCAUCGCAGUGGACCCUGAGACUCAAGGAGACAGACCUGAAUUGUGAGGUAGUCGUUUGUGUCUAGCACUUUGUC